rnacentral:rRNA from 1 species
CACCGCCCGUCACACCAUGGGAGUUUGUUGCACCAGAAGCAGGUAGCUUAACCUUCGGGAGGGCGCGUUGCCACGGUGUGGCAGAUGACUGGGGUG